rnacentral:misc_RNA from 1 species
AUAGACAACUGGAUAUCUGAUGACUUGACAGAUAUGUAUCAGAAAGGCCAAAAAGUUCUUGAAACUCUUGUCAAUGCUGGCCUGUUGGAGAGUUCUGAGGAUGGACACAUUUUCAAGCUACAUGAGACAGAUCGCUGUUUAUUACUAGAACAUGUUUUUCCAUCUGUAGAAGGAUUGUUUCUUAUGAGGAAAAAUAGUAAAUUGACUGAGCUACCAAAGGAUGUGGAUUGGACAAAGUUCCAUGAGAUUUACUUGAUGGAUAAUAAGCUAACUGAGUUAUCAGAGAAUCUGAGCUGCCCCCAAGCCCAAGCAUUGUUCCUGCAAAGAAACCUUAAAUUGAGGAAAAUAUCCGACUCAUUUUUCCAGGGCAUGCUUAAUCUACAAAUCCUAAACUUAUCUGGAACUCCCAUCAAGUCUUUGCCGGAUCCUCUUUUCAAAUUGGUCAAUCUUAAAAGCUUCUUUUUGAAUCACUGUGUUCUGUUAAAAUUAUUACCAUCCGGAAUUGGAAAUCUGAGUUGCCUUGAGGUAUUUCAUCUUGAAGGGACAGAGAUCAUAGCUCUACCAAAAGAAGUUGAACGACUGAAGAAUCUCACAUCCUUAAAAUUGUCAUUUCGUGAACCCAUCAGUUUCAAUCAGCAACCAAAGACGGUGAUUCCUGUUGGGGUUAUACCAAAUCUAUCCAAGUUGGAAAAUUUAUAUAUUGAUGUGAGUCCAGAAGAUGAUCGGUGGAAAGCAUCUGUGGGACGUGUUGUUUUGGAGGUUUGCACAGUAACAACAUUAGAUACACUUCAGUUCUACUUCCCCACUGUGGAACUAUUGAGCCAUUUUAAUUGGGAUACCAUACCAACAUCUCCACCAUUAUCACAUUUCAAAUUUACUGUUGGUGAUCAUACCAAUCGCAUCAUUGGUCAACUCCCUCGUGAUGCUGAGGUUGAGUUAGGACGAUAUGAUAAAUGCCUGAAGUAUGUAAAUGGUAAAGGUGCACCUGAGGAAAUCAAGAAAGUGCUGAGACAUGCAUCUGCUUUUUUCUUGGACCGCAAUAUGACUGUUGAGAAGUUAUCAGAAUUUGAGAUCACAAAUAUGAAACAAUUGAAGUGUUGUGUAAUAGGGGAAUGUGACAAGCUUCAAGCAAUCAUAGAUGGAGAUCAAAUGGUAACCAAUGCUUCUGGAGGACUAGAAGUUGGUUUUAAAUCACUUGAAUAUCUGUAUAUAUAUUGUGCGAGGAGCUUAAGGAGUAUAUGGGAGGGGCAACUGGAUAACAGUGGCUUUAAAGUACUAAAAUACUUGGUGCUAUACAUGUGUCCACAGCUGACCACCAUUUUCACACCAGGAUCGCUUGCAAAUCUUUCCAGCCUUGAAGAGCUCACAGUUGAUGAUUGCCCUGAAAUCAUAACUUUAGUGACCUGCUAUAAAUCUGAGGAUGUACAAAUCUUCCCAAGGUUAAAGAAGGUAUCUCUCCAUUACUUGCCUAGACUGGUUGGAUUCUCCGAGUGUUUGCUUCUUUCUCCAAGACUGGAAAGGAUUAGUGUUUGCUAUUGCCCCAAUCUCAAAAAGCUACCUAUUCUUGAUAAAGCUUUAAAUGGAAAUCUAAGGAAGAUCAUGGGCGAGUCUAGCUGGUGGAAGUCAUUGAAGUGGGAAAGCACAAAGGAUUCUUGGGAUGACAUAUUUGUUCCUGUUGAUGUAUGUUAUUGAAUGGCUAUAGUCUUGUUGGAAUAGAGGCAUUGUUGCAGUUGAGAAUUAGCAUUCCAUAUAUGCAGAACUUGUAAACAUACAUAAUAUAGUUAUUGAACUCACGAAUAGAAUUAAAAAACCACCGCAAAGUUGCUGCUAGCUAGAUUCUUUCCUGAUAGUAUAGUAAUGAAACAAUGGAAAAU